rnacentral:rRNA from 1 species
UACGAAGGGUGCAAGCGUUACUCGGAAUUACUGGGCGUAAAGCGUGCGUAGGUGGUUCGUUAAGUCUGAUGUGAAAGCCCCCGGGCUCAACCUGGGAAUGGCAGUGAGGACUGGAUAGCUAGAGUGUGGCAGAGGGGGGGUGGAAUUCCACGUGUAGCAGUGAAAUGCGUAGAGAUGUGGAGGAACACCGAUGGCGAAGGCAGCCCCCCUGGGCUAACACUGACGCUCAGGCACGAAAGCGUGGGGAGCAAACAGG